rnacentral:rRNA from 1 species
AUGGCCGCGGCGGCGCAGGGCGAAGCGAGCACGGGCACGACGGCGGCGACGUUCCGGCGCGUGUACGAGACCCUCAAGGCCGAGCUUCUCCGGGACGACUCCUUCGGCUUCGACGACGACGCCCUCCGAUGGAUCGACGCCAUGUUGGACUACAACGUGCUUGGUGGAAAGCUGAACCGCGGCUUGGCUGUUGUUGAGAGCUACAAAUUGUUGAAAGCAGGAUCCGAACCAAGCGAGGAGGAAGAGUUCCUUGCUUGCAUUCUUGGCUGGGGCAUUGAAUGGCUUCAGGCUUAUUUCCUCAUUCUUGAUGAUAUUAUGGAUAAUUCCCAAACUAGGCGAGGAAAACCAUGUUGGUAUAGGCUUCCAAAGGUUGGCCUCAUUGCUAUAAAUGAUGGACUUGUCCUGCGCAGCCAAAUAUCACGGAUCUUCAAGCGUUAUUUUCACGGGAAACCUUACUAUGUUGAUCUCCUAGACUUAUUCAAUGAGGUCGACUUCAAGACGACUUCUGGCGAGUUGUUAGACCAAAUUACAACAAGUGAAGGGCAAAAAGAUCUGAGCAAAUACACUGUAGAUGUUUACAGGCGCAUUGUAGAAUACAAAACAGCUUACUAUUCAUUCUAUUUGCCGGUCGGUUGUGCACUGCUGUUGUCCGGUGGGAGUUUGGAUGAUUAUGUUCAAGUGAAGCAUAUCCUAGUUGAAAUGGGUAUUUACUUCCAAAUUCAGGACGAUUAUCUUGACUGUUUUGGUGAUCCAGAAGUUAUGGGCAAGAUUGGAACUGAUAUCGAAGACUUCAAGUGCUCUUGGCUGUUUGUUCAAGCACUAGUGCGUGUCGAUGAGAGGCAAAAAGACAUCUUAUUUGAAAAUUACGGGAAAUCAGAUCCUGCUUGUGUUGCAAAAGUGAAGGCGCUGUAUAAAGAGCUCAAUCUGGAGGCGGUGUUCUCUGAGUACGAAAGGGAGAUUUACGAAAAGCUGAUCUCAGACAUCGAAGCGCAGCCGAAUGAAGCUGUGCAGGCAGUGUUGAAAUCGUUUUUGCAUAAAAUCUACAGAAGGAUGAAGUAG